UACGUAGGGGGCAAGCGUUGUCCGGAAUCAUUGGGCGUAAAGCGCGUGUAGGCGGCUUGGUAAGUCCGUUCUGAAAGCCCGGGGCUCAACCCCGGGAGGCGGAUGGAUACUGUCAAGCUUGAGUCCGGAAGAGGCGAGUGGAAUUCCCGGUGUAGCGGUGAAAUGCGCGGAUAUCGGGAGGAACACCAAUGGCGAAGGCAGCUCGCUGGGACGUGACUGACGCUGAGACGCGAAAGCG
rnacentral:rRNA from 1 species